GACGAACGCUGGCGGCGUGCUUAACACAUGCAAGUCGAACGGAAAGGCCCUGCUUUUGUGGGGUGCUCGAGUGGCGAACGGGUGAGUAACACGUGAGUAACCUGCCCUUGACUUUGGGAUAACUUCAGGAAACUGGGGCUAAUACCGGAUAGGAGCUCCUGCUGCAUGGUGGGGGUUGGAAAGUUUCGGCGGUUGGGGAUGGACUCGCGGCUUAUCAGCUUGUUGGUGGGGUAGUGGCUUACCAAGGCUUUGACGGGUAGCCGGCCUGAGAGGGUGACCAGCCACAUUGGGACUGAGAUACGGCCCAGACUCCUACGGGAGGCAGCAGUGGGGAAUAUUGCACAAUGGGCGGAAGCCUGAUGCAGCAACGCCACGUGCGGGAUGACGGCCUUCGGGUUGUAAACCGCUUUCGCCUGUGACGAAGCGUGAGUGACGGUAAUGGGUAAAGAAGCACCGGCUAACUACGUG
rnacentral:rRNA from 1 species